rnacentral:tRNA from 1 species
AAGAAUUUAGUUAAACUAUAACGUUAGCUUGUCAAGCUAAAAUUAUUAAAAAAUAAUAAUUCUUG